rnacentral:lncRNA from 1 species
GGACAUUGACCAUGAUUGCUGCUUGCCUCAGCACAGCAGGAUUUAAUCCUGCCUUGUGGGGUAAUUUUCUUCAAAGCAAGACUUCAGGCUUGUUGGAGGACUGGUAGCUGAAAAGAGAAGGCGACUCUAAAAAUUACUUUUCAGAAGCUGCAUAAACUUGUUGGAUUUUGAGAUGUGACAGAAUGAAAGAUAUGCAGGAGUUGUGGUUUGCCCACAAAAAACAGGAUGGGCAGGUGCAAGGACUGCUGAGAUAUUUGCAGAAGCUGUACACACAGUACACUUUGGAGCAAGCACACAGAAGGCUGAGCACGUGCUCCCAGGCACCAGAUGUGGAGAGAUCCUGUACCUACUGUGCUUCAACAGCCAAUUACUCAAACCCAUAAUAUUUUUGCUUCUGAAAUUAACCACUUUAUGAAUUAUACAAAAGGAAAUGAUCAGUGUUGACAGCUGAUUCUUUGAAAUAGGGGGUAAUCACAAACACCAUUAAAAAUAUGCCUGGAGUUCACCAUUCCGCAGUGCUGAAUCUCAUCAAGUUUUGAAAUGCUAUUAGCAAUAGCGUAUCUUUCCUAAGACUCAUAAUUUUCCAGGUAUUGUCCUGUCUGACUCAAUAAACCUCAGUAUCUACUCUUCA